rnacentral:misc_RNA from 1 species
GCACUUGUUGAAAAUCCAACAUGUGACGACCUUAUUUGUUGGGACGAAUCAGGAAAAAGCUUUCAUGUGUUCGAUCAGGGGAGAUUUGCAAAGGAGAUCCUGCCUCUUUAUUUCAAGCACAGCAACAUCGCCAGUUUUAUCAGGCAGUUGAAUAUGUAUGGUUUCAGGAAAGUGACCAACAUAGAACAAGGUCUGAAAACAGAGAAGGAUGACCUGGAAUUCCAACAUCCAUAUUUUCAGAAAGACCAGGAGCAGUUGCUUGAACACAUCAAAAGAAAAAUCACUCAUCAUGUACCUGCACACCCCCAAAUCAAAGUGGAGCCUAUUCAAACAGUGAGCGUGCCCACAGAAGACCUCAGUAGGAUGGUUUCAGAGGUCAACCAGGUCAAAAGCAAGCAGGACAUGAUGAACAACAAACUAGAAACAAUGAAAAAAGAAAAUGAAGUCUUGUGGCGAGAGGUUGCAUCUCUAAGACAAAAACAUAUGAAACAAACACAGAUUGUAAACAAAUUGAUACAAUUCCUGGUACACUUGGUCGGAGCUAACCGAGUAGCAGGUGCCAGUAAGCGAAAGAUGCCUCUAAUGAUUGGAAAUUCAACCAGUCCGAAGGUGGCUCGCUACAACAAAUCUCAUAUACCCUUAGACAUUGAUUCAUCCAGUUACUGUGUAGAAUCGCCUGAUUCCUUCAGUAAUUACAGCAGUAGUAAUGGUCCAGUCAUACACGACAUCACAGAUCUUCAAGAGAACAAUCAGAGGCAGAAUUCAGGCGCUAAGAAGGAUAGCGCUGUACUUGACCUGUCCCACCUCAAUCUGCCCUCUGACAUCAUUACCCCGGGUCACGUACCUGACACGUCAGGUGUGAAGGACGAUCUGACUCUGUUCAAUGGGGACUUGUUAUCCGACUCAUCAACAUCAUCAGACCUGAUGCCUAAAAUGAUGUCCAUGUCUGACCUGGGACGGAUGGGGAACGUACCAACAUCUGUGAAUACCAAGCCCACAAACACAGUGGCCUCUCCAGGGAGUGAAAUGUCCGAUCACGUGGAGUCUGUAAGUUCUGACCUAGAAGGAUUAAAAGACCUGCUGGCUGGAUCCAACUACUUCGAUCCCAACCUGUUAUUAGGGAUGCUUGCUGGAUUGGACAGUUUCAAGACAGAUGAUGGAUCAAAUUCUGGACCUCUAGUCCAUUACAAACAAGGAGAUGAAGAAAUUCCUGACCUCUUUGACCUCGCAGAAAUGUCCAAGGACGAGCAUGAGGACGAAGCCUCCAAGAUCUCCUUGGAUCAAAUCAACAAAUCAAAAGCUCUGGACACACCCCUACCCAUCCAGAUCUCCGCAGACGACCUGGAUUAAUGUAUUCACUCAUUCAUGUACUCAAAAGUAUGCAUUUUAAUUAUUUUUUGUGAAAAAUGUGCAUCUUAUUUAUUUGAGAAGGGCUUCUGGUCUAUACAAAAGUGUGCAGGCCAUGUAUUUUUAAGAUAUCCUGAUUGAUUGUAGUUCUUCUUUCCAUUUUUGAGAGGGAGAGGAGAGAAAGAUAUUCAUUACACACUAAUAUAUCCGAACCUCAUUCAAGCAAGUAUAUUAUUGAAUGUGCACAGUUGAAUCAUAUAUUGUAUAUGACCCAUUAUGAAGAAUGCAUUUGUCAAAAUGCAUUAAACACAAAAAAAACAUACAAUAAAUUGUUGCGUUGCAUUGUAAAUAAAAAAGCUUUGAGGAGUGUUGUAUUGAAUUUAGUGGUUUCUUUGUUUCGUUAUUUGAGACUGAUUGCACCAUCAAUAACACACGUAGAAAAGUACAUGUUAUAUACAGGUUAAGGACUUAGCCCUUUGAAGUUUACUACCUAUGAUGAUAUUUGUAUGGCGUGCCAUGUUGUUGAUCAUCAAGUUUAGUUUGAGUUUGUUAGAGGACAUUUACUUACCGGUACUGAUAAGAGUAAGUAAAUGUUUUACAUUUUCUGUUAGGUCUUUGGUUUGUUGAACAUAUUUUGAAAUAAUGCUUACAAUGCAGUGUGGAAAAAGAGCAAGAAAAACAGAUGAAGGGAUUAACUUUGUUUUGUUUCAUUUUGUUGUAUAAUAUUCUGCUACAACCCAUCUGCAUAAUUGUCCUCAGAGCAUAAUUAAAUAGAUAUCUGUGUAACAAUCACAUCAUUGUAAAUAUGAACCCUGGUGACUUCAUUGUAUUGUGAUAUUAUACACGGCCAUAAUUUAGUGGGGCUAAUUCAGGUAUUUAAUGGACAGUUACAAACUAGAGUUACCUUUCUUUUAUUAGUUUUUCAUUUCCCCACAAUACUUUAAGAGUGUAGUAGGAUAAAGCUCUGUUUUUAUUUAAAUAAAAAACAAUUGAGUUAAUAAUAAUGUAUUCAUUUGCAUGCAGUGAUACAUUCGAAUUUUUAUGUUAUUUGUGAACCGUUUCAUUGGAAAAUAAUUGCACAGUAUUUUUAUACAAAAUAUUAAAUAAAUGAAACUUGGCAAGUUGGCAUGUUUGUUUUUAGUGAAACAAAAUCAUGGUAGCUUAAGAAUGUUGUCCAGUUACUUUAUUGUACAUUAAAUAUGUUUAAGAUAACCUAAUAAAAUUGAAUUGGUUAUAGUUAUGAAAGAAAUAAAAAUCUGAAAAGUU